UAGAGGAUGUGUGUAUCAGGGUCGUAGCAGAGUGAUUGAUCAGUAUUGAUUACCUUGCCAGCCAGGUAGAGGAUGUGUGUAUCAGGGUCGUAGCAGAGUGAUUGAUCAGUAUUGAUUACCUUGCCAGCCAGGUAGAGGAUGUGUGUAUCAGGGUCGUAGCAGAGUGAUUGAUCAGUAUUGAUUACCUUGCCAGCCAGGUAGAGGAUGUGUGUAUCAGGGUCGUAGCAGAGUGAUUGAUCAGUAUUGAUUACCUUGCCAGCCAGGUAGAGGAUGUGUGUAUCAGGGUCGUAGCAGAGUGAUUGAUCAGUAUUGAUUACCUUGCCAGCCAGGUAGAGGAUGUGUGUAUCAGGGUCGUAGCAGAGUGAUUGAUCAGUAUUGAUUACCUUGCCAGCCAGGUAGAGGAUGUGUGUAUCAGGGUCGUAGCAGAGUGAUUGAUCAGUAUUGAUUACCUUGCCAGCCAGGUAGAGGAUGUGUGUAUCAGGGUCGUAGCAGAGUGAUUGAUCAGUAUUGAUUACCUUGCCAGCCAGGUAGAGGAUGUGUGUAUCAGGGUCGUAGCAGAGUGAUUGAUCAGUAUUGAUUACCUUGCCAGCCAGGUAGAGGAUGUGUGUAUCAGGGUCGUAGCAGAGUGAUUGAUCAGUAUUGAUUACCUUGCCAGCCAGGUAGAGGAUGUGUGUAUCAGGGUCGUAGCAGAGUGAUUGAUCAGUAUUGAUUACCUUGCCAGCCAGGUAGAGGAUGUGUGUAUCAGGGUC